GAAAAUGAUUCGGUGCAAAGCCAUGGGUUAGAACUACGAUUGAAUUGGUUGGUUUAAUUGAUACUUAGGUGUUGGUUUUGAUUAACGGCGUUGCCUACCCUCAACCUCAUGUCGAUAUUGGAUGAUGAAAUGAAAUUUUCGUACUCAAGAUGUGGACGAUGAAAGACUGUUGUGUUAUGUCAAAUUUGUGUUGUAGAGUCGCAAAGCGUUAAGUGAGAAAGUUACACGUGAUAAGGGAG
rnacentral:misc_RNA from 1 species